rnacentral:rRNA from 1 species
ACGCUCGACACCUACGGGAGGCAACAGUCGGGAAUAUUGCGCAAUGGAGGAAACUCUGACGCAGUGACGCCGCGUGCAGGAAGAAGGUUUUCGGAUUGUAAACUGCUUUAGACAGGGAAGAAAGAAAUGACAGUACCUGUAGAAUAAGCUCCGGCUAACUACGUGGCAGCAGCCGCGGUAAUCUGAGCGGGCUGGCAAGGC